GAUGAACGCUGGCGGCGUGCCUAAUACAUGCAAGUCGAGCGAACGGACGAGAAGCUUGCUUCUCUGAUGUUAGCGGCGGACGGGUGAGUAACACGUGGAUAACCUACCUAUAAGACUGGGAUAACUUCGGGAAACCGGAGCUAAUACCGGAUAAUAUUUUGAACCGCAUGGUUCAAAAGUGAAAGACGGUCUUGCUGUCACUUAUAGAUGGAUCCGCGCUGCAUUAGCUAGUUGGUAAGGUAACGGCUUACCAAGGCAACGAUGCAUAGCCGACCUGAGAGGGUGAUCGGCCACACUGGAACUGAGACACGGUCCAGACUCCUACGGGAGGCAGCAGUAGGGAAUCUUCCGCAAUGGGCGAAAGCCUGACGGAGCAACGCCGCGUGAGUGAUGAAGGUCUUCGGAUCGUAAAACUCUGUUAUUAGGGAAGAACAUAUGUGUAAGUAACUGUGCACAUCUUGACGGUACCUAAUCAGAAAGCCACGGCUAACUACGUGCCAGCAGCCGCGGUAAUACGUAGGUGGCAAGCGUUAUCCGGAAUUAUUGGGCGUAAAGCGCGCGUAGGCGGUUUUUUAAGUCUGAUGUGAAAGCCCACGGCUCAACCGUGGAGGGUCAUUGGAAACUGGAAAACUUGAGUGCAGAAGAGGAAAGUGGAAUUCCAUGUGUAGCGGUGAAAUGCGCAGAGAUAUGGAGGAACACCAGUGGCGAAGGCGACUUUCUGGUCUGUAACUGACGCUGAUGUGCGAAAGCGUGGGGAUCAAACAGGAUUAGAUACCCUGGUAGUCCACGCCGUAAACGAUGAGUGCUAAGUGUUAGGGGGUUUCCGCCCCUUAGUGCUGCAGCUAACGCAUUAAGCACUCCGCCUGGGGAGUACGACCGCAAGGUUGAAACUCAAAGGAAUUGUCGGGGACCCGCACAAGCGGUGGAGCAUGUGGUUUAAUUCGAAGCAACGCGAAGAACCUUACCAAAUCUUGACAUCCUUUGACAACUCUAGAGAUAGAGCCUUCCCCUUCGGGGGACAAAGUGACAGGUGGUGCAUGGUUGUCGUCAGCUCGUGUCGUGAGAUGUUGGGUUAAGUCCCGCAACGAGCGCAACCCUUAAGCUUAGUUGCCAUCAUUAAGUUGGGCACUCUAAGUUGACUGCCGGUGACAAACCGGAGGAAGGUGGGGAUGACGUCAAAUCAUCAUGCCCCUUAUGAUUUGGGCUACACACGUGCUACAAUGGACAAUACAAAGGGCAGCGAAACCGCGAGGUCAAGCAAAUCCCAUAAAGUUGUUCUCAGUUCGGAUUGUAGUCUGCAACUCGACUACAUGAAGCUGGAAUCGCUAGUAAUCGUAGAUCAGCAUGCUACGGUGAAUACGUUCCCGGGUCU
rnacentral:rRNA from 1 species